rnacentral:rRNA from 1 species
AUUGAACGCUGGCGGCAUGCCUUACACAUGCAAGUCGAACGGCAGCACGGGAGCAAUCCUGGUGGCGAGUGGCGAACGGGUGAGUAAUAUAUCGGAACGUGCCCGGUCGUGGGGGAUAACGUAGCGAAAGCUACGCUAAUACCGCAUACAAUCUACGGAUGAAAGCGGGGGAUCGCAAGACCUCGCGCGAUUGGAGCGGCCGAUAUCAGAUUAGGUAGUUGGUGAGGUAAAGGCUCACCAAGCCGACGAUCUGUAGCUGGUCUGAGAGGACGACCAGCCACACUGGGACUGAGACACGGCCCAGACUCCUACGGGAGGCAGCAGUGGGGAAUUUUGGACAAUGGGCGCAAGCCUGAUCCAGCAAUGCCGCGUGCAGGAUGAA